CCAGGCUUGGUCCACAGGAAGCAUGAGCCCUUCACAGGCCCCUUGAAAGCCUCAGGGACCUCCAUGCAGGAAGGUGCAGUUCUUCUGUGACAAGCAAUGAGUUUGGGUAGCAUUUGAGAUGGAUGCUGAACACCAUGCCAAGACUUUAAAGAGUUGGGAGGACUUUCCAGGUGGAAGGACCAAAGUAAACAAAAAUGGAAAAGUACUCUCCUGUAGAGGAACAGCUGAACCUGGAAGAUGGGGAGAAAGCGGAAAGAAGAAACUGUCCAGAAGGAUGCAUGGUAGAAGCACCUGCCUCUUGGAAUAGAUUCCCUCUCCAGAGAUACAGCCCCAAGGUCGAGGGUUUCACCUUUUAAUGGGAGCAGUGACUUUGAUCACAUCCUGCCAUCUGAAAAAGAAUGAUGCCUUGGUUUUGGGAUUUCAUGACCCUCCUACAAGUUGCAACAAAUUGAGCUGAAGGGUCAGAGCAGCCAUAAGUUUCCGGGAAUCUGGCUCCUUCUGGCUCAUCCUCCUUGUCCUGAGAAAGCAAAGCAUUGGGUAGGUUAUCUCCUCCAGGCUCCAAGCAAGUACCAGGUACCCCAUGGGGCAUUUUACCAACCUCACAACUCCCUUAUAAAAUUGUAGCUGCCCUGGUAUCAUUUUGGAGUACUUAUGAUAUAUGU